rnacentral:rRNA from 1 species
UACAGAGGUCCCAAGCGUUACUGAGAAUCACUGGGUUUAAAGGGUGCGUAGGUGGCACGUUAAGUCAGUUGUGAAAUCCCCGGGCUCAACCCGGGAACUGCUUCUGAUACUGGCGUGCUUGAGGCCAGUAGGGGUCACUAGAACUGACAGUGGAGCGGUGAAAUGCGUAGAUAUCGAGAGGAACACCAGAGGUGAAGACGGGUUGCUGGGCCGACACUGACGCUGACAGCGCGAAAGCCAGGGGAGCAAACGGG